rnacentral:miRNA from 1 species
CAAUGCUACAACAAUGCAC